rnacentral:tRNA from 1 species
GCCCCGGUAGCUCAGUUCGGAUUAGAGCACCGGUCUACGAAACCGGGAUAUGCGUUGGUUCGAAUCCAACUCGGGGCGCCC